rnacentral:rRNA from 1 species
CUUACGCAUUAAAAGCAUGAACUAACACGGUGGUUGAAGUAUUAGGUGUUGAACUUUCUUAGUGGCGAACGGGUGAGUAACGCGUGGGCAACCUGCCCUCUAGAUGGGGACAACAUCCCGAAAGGGGUGCUAAUACCGAAUGUGACAGCAAUCUCGCAUGAGGAUACUGUGAAAGAUGGCCUCUAUUUAUAAGCUAUCGCUAGAGGAUGGGCCUGCGUCUGAUUAGCUAGUUGGUGGGGUAACGGCCUACCAAGGCGAUGAUCAGUAGCCGGUCUGAGAGGAUGAACGGCCACAUUGGGACUGAGACACGGCCCAGACUCCUACGGGAGGCAGCAGUGGGGAAUCUUCCGCAAUGGGCGAAAGCCUGACGGAGCAAUGCCGCGUGAGUGAUGAAGGAAUUCGUUCCGUAAAGCUCUUUUGUUUAUGACGAAUGUGCAGAUUGUAAAUAAUGAUCUGUAAUGACGGUAGUAAACGAAUAAGCCACGGCUAACUACGUG